CUAACACAUAUCCCAGAGGUCAUACAGUCAUAAAAGCAUCAUGGUCCUAUAGAUGGUCUGGUGUGAAACCUGGGAAUGGUGGUCAUUCAGAGUACUAUCGGAUAGAGUGAGUCACUCCACCCUGAGAAUCACAUAUCUGAGAGAAAGUCAACAAGUACAGAGAAACAGACCUCAGUUAUGACUUCAGCUGAAGGAAUCACAGAUUAUCAUACUCCGUCUCUCUGUCUUCAUGUGGUUCAGGUGAGAAUCUUUCUAAGACCGUCAUUUCACAUUAUCAUUUUAAUUUAUUAACUUGAUUAUUCAUUCAUUCAUU
rnacentral:lncRNA from 1 species